rnacentral:rRNA from 1 species
GUCCACGCCCUAAACGAUGUCAACUGGUUGUUGGGAGGGUUUCUUCUCAGUAACGAAGCUAACGCGUGAAGUUGACCGCCUGGGGAGUACGGCAGCAAGGUUGAAACUCAAAGGAAUUGACGGGGGACCAGCACAAGCGGUGGAUGAUGUGGUUUAAUUCGAUGCAACGCGAAAACCUUACCUACCCUUGACAUGCUAGGAAUCCUGAAGAGAUUUAGGAGUGCUCGAAAGAGAGCCUAGACACAGGUGCUGCAUGGCCGUCGU